rnacentral:rRNA from 2 species
UGCAAGUCGAACGAUGAACCACUUCGGUGGGGAUUAGUGGCGAACGGGUGAGUAACACGUGGGCAAUCUGCCCUGCACUCUGGGACAAGCCCUGGAAACGGGGUCUAAUACCGGAUAACAGCCUCCAUCGCAUGGUGGGGGUUUGAAAGCUCCGGCGGUGCAGGAUGAGCCCGCGGCCUAUCAGCUUGUUGGUGAGGUAGUGGCUCACCAAGGCGACGACGGGUAGCCGGCCUGAGAGGGCGACCGGCCACACUGGGACUGAGACACGGCCCAGACUCCUACGGGAGGCAGCAGUGGGGAAUAUUGCACAAUGGGCGAAAGCCUGAUGCAGCGACGCCGCGUGAGGGAUGACGGCCUUCGGGUUGUAAACCUCUUUCAGCAGGGAAGAAGCGAAAGUGACGGUACCUGCAGAAGAAGCGCCGGCUAACUACGUGCCAGCAGCCGCGGUAAUACGUAGGGCGCAAGCGUUGUCCGGAAUUAUUGGGCGUAAAGAGCUCGUAGGCGGCUUGUCGCGUCGGUUGUGAAAGCCCGGGGCUUAACCCCGGGUCUGCAGUCGAUACGGGCAGGCUAGAGUUCGGUAGGGGAGAUCGGAAUUCCUGGUGUAGCGGUGAAAUGCGCAGAUAUCAGGAGGAACACCGGUGGCGAAGGCGGAUCUCUGGGCCGAUACUGACGCUGAGGAGC